GCAGAGAAACGCGAUAGGUAAUGUGAAUUGCAGAAUUCCGUGAAUCAUCGAAUCUUUGAACGCACCUUGCGCUCUAUGGCAAUCCGUAGAGCAUGCCUGUUUGAGUGCCAUGAAAUCUCCCACCCCAAGCGGUUUUUGAAUGAAACGGCUUGGCGGAUGGGGUCUGGAUGGGUGCCUCUGCCUGUGCUAAACCUUAGCCCACAGGCUCGCCCGAAAUGCAUGAGCGCCUUGGGACACUUUGCAUCCUCCUCUCUUGUGGGAGGAGGCGGCCAAGCAGUGUUUUUCUCCAGGCAUGGCAUGAUACGUCAUUUGCUAUGUCGCCCAAUGGAGGAAUGUUUGGUUGUGUCUGCGUGUGCUUCGAACUUGCCUCUGUGCAAAUCCCCUUUCACUUCUGGUCUCAAAUCAGGUAAGAUCACCCGCUGAACUUAAGCAUAUCAAUAAGCGGAGGAAAAACACGUUAAAUUAGUUUAUUUUUAGCAACUCAUAUAUAUGGAUAUGUAUGUUUUAAUUUGAU
rnacentral:rRNA from 1 species